rnacentral:lncRNA from 1 species
GGGCGACCGCUGCCUUCUCCUCGGUUGCCAUCAUGCUCCUUUUUGUGUGCGUCGGCGCACAUGCCGGCGGGCGCGGCGACAAGGUCAAGGUGGUGGACCUCGUGGUAGAAACCUGCAAGAACGCUUCGAGCAGCUGCCGCAACAAGCACCUGAACGUCACCCAGGAAUUCUGCGUGCAGACUCUCCGGUCGGACAAAAGGAGCUCCAAGGCCAAGGACCUCCGUGACCUGUCCCUCGUCGCCGUCGACAUCCUCAAGAUCCGUGUGGCAGCUGCCGGCGGCAAGGUGAAGGAAGCACUCCAGAAAGCCAAGAAAGGUACGGACGAGGCACUCGGCCUCAGGUAUUGCCAGGUGGACUACGAUGCCGCUAUCGGCACCCUCGGUCUCUGCGACGCCAUGCUCAGGGACUUCCAUGUCCCCAGGGGCGACGCCGACGGCCCGUGGUCCUUUGAACUGCCCGAGUGUGUGGAGAAGGCGACUGACCAUGUCAGCGACUGCUGGCAUGAUCUUCACAUGGAUAGCCAGACACUUAUCAAUGAAAACGAGGAGCUGAUCAAGCUGGGCGACCUCAACAAUGUCUUGCUAGGGCCAUAUGACUUUGAUAGUUAAUAAUCUAUUUUCUACCGGAAACAAUCUUCAUGUAAACCCAACAUUACUUCCGUUUGAAAUAAUAANN